ensembl:lncRNA
GUAUGGUCCUGAGAACAUUAGCCUACCUACAGGUUGGCCACUUGGCCCAUCUAAGAAGACUCCUCCCUCAACAAGCUAUUCAGAAACCUCUGUUCAAGGACACGUUUGAAUGAAACCAUGUAACAUAUAGACAAACCCAGCAGGUGAAGGUGGAGCGCAAGCUUGGCUCUGAGUACCUGGGUGCUGCUGAGCACACAGCCUGCAGAAGCAGCGGAGGCAGUGCGACUGAGAGAGAGAGAGAGAGAGAGAGAGAGAGAACCAGCCCACCACCUGCAGCCUCGCACACACAGGCAUGAAGAAACACCUUCCUGGAUCACAGGCACACAGACCAACUUUGAGUCUAAGAGGAGGCGGAAAAGGAAGAGUGUCGGGGGACAAGCCCCACUGGAGUUUUUUUUCUUCGCCGUAACGAGUCAAUUGGAUGCUGGAGCAUUGGGAGAGAGAGAGAGGCUGGGAUUUUUCCGUGUUCAGGCUGCAAAAGUUCUCUUGAGAUGCACUGGGGUGUGCAGCCAUGGAAAGUGUUUAAAACGUCCCGCUGGGAAUUAGUUAGCCGUAGA